GAUGAACGCUGGCGGCGUGCCUCAAACAUGCAAGUCGAGCGGGGCUAUGUAAUAUCGCAAGGUAGAACAUAGCCUAGCGGCGAACGGGUGAGUAACACGUGGGUAACCUGCCUGGAAGACAGGGAUAACGAUUCGAAAGGGUCGCUAAUACCUGAUAAUAUCCUUUCAUCGCAUGGUGAUAGGAAGAAAGGGGAAACCCGCUUUCAGAUGGGCCCGCGUCCCAUCAGCUAGUUGGUAAGGUAAAGGCUUACCAAGGCGACGACGGGUAGCCGGUCUGAGAGGAUGUACGGCCACACUGGGACUGAGAUACGGCCCAGACUCCUACGGGAGGCAGCAGUUGGGAAUCUUAGGCAAUGGACGAAAGUCUGACCUAGCGACGCCGCGUGAGGGAAGAAGGCCUUCGGUUGUAACCUCUGUCAUGGGGAAGAAGUAAGUGACGGUACCCGAACGAGGAAGACCCUGCUAACUACGUGCCAGCAGCCGCGGUAACUACGACGAGUAGUACGUAGAGGCGGCGUGGACG
rnacentral:rRNA from 1 species